GACUCCCCGCGGGACUUCCAAGGCAGCAUAACUUCGGGUCCAGACUGGGCUGUCAGGCGUUUCCAGGAAGGAUCCAGGAACCCCUUAACUAAUCCAGGCAGUGACCUGGGAGAACUCGGGAGAACCCGUGGCAGCCCUCAGCAUCCAGCUGGUGAACCUGAUUCCUGAUUUCCGGGUAGGCCUUCAGAUGUGUUUUGCUGAAUAUCACUUUCAGAAGAUCCCGGCUAAACUUCUUCUGUACAUUGCUGAGGAUGUCGUACACGACUCUCUCCAGUGGGACCAGGGCUUCAGAGUUGCCUGAAGUUCCAGGACCAACUUGAAGAUAGAGAAGCAAACAGGAUUCCCCGAGUUCUGUCCUCACAUGACCCAACUGCCUCUGGCUCUGGGAUUUGGAGUAAGUAGGCUUUGGAAGGCAGCCCAGCUUAGGUGUGUCUACUUGCAUCCUAGUAUCUGUUGUUACAUUACACAAGUGACCCUGGGAUGCUCUGCACUUCGGAGCAUUCCUGCUUGCUAUUCGUCGCUGUCACCAUGUGCCUCAGCCUCAGUUACUGCAGAGGUGAAUGUAAAUGGUUCCUGUGAUGUCUAUCCCUCCAGUUAUCUUCUGACUUACAAAGGUGAUGUCCCUUCAUCCCUGGAGGUGCUUCAGCCUGUUGGCUGCACCCAGAAGUACAGCAUGAUACAGCACAGGGCAGGCUUGCUGUCAGGACUGAGUUCAUUCUCCACACUCACCUGAAACUUCUGCUCCGAGAUGAAGUCUCGGUCUCGAAGGCUCAUGAGGAAAGGAAACGGCUUGGUGAUGGCACUUGCGAUCUCCACCUUGUUUUCUUUGAAGUGCUUGAACAUGAGCUGAUAGUCAUCUGACUCCUCUUCAUUCUGGUCCUCUGGGAUUGUCCUAGGGGACAGAUUUCCAUGCAGAAGUAGAUACUGGUUUACAAGAUGCUACCAAUGGCUGGAUAAUUACUGACAUGAAGACUGGUCUGCUAAUAUAAAAUUAAAAUUUUAAACAUCUCAUUUAGUGAUCAAGUUCUGGUGCUUUGAGUUUGAUUUGCUCGGGAUAGGGUUAUCAUCUGUAAGUCUGGCUUGCCUAAAAGUUACUAUGUAGACAAGGCUAUCCUCACACAUAAAUUUCACCUGCCUCUGCUGCCUGAGUGCUCAGAUUUAAAUUAUGUUCCAUCAUGUCCAGUACUGUGAUUAGUUUUAAUUGUCAACCUGACACAAUCUAUAAUCAUCUUGGAUUGUAUGAGUCUUAAUAAAGGAUUGUC
rnacentral:lncRNA from 1 species